rnacentral:rRNA from 1 species
AACGAACGCUGGCGGCAGGCCUAACACAUGCAAGUCGAGCGGACCUUUCGGGGUCAGCGGCGGACGGGUGAGUAACGCGUGGGAAUAUGCCCUUCUCUACGGAAUAGUCCUGGGAAACUGGGGGUAAUACCGUAUACGCCCUUUGGGGGAAAGAUUUAUCGGGGAAGGAUUAGCCCGCGUUGGAUUAGGUAGUUGGUGGGGUAAUGGCCUACCAAGCCGACGAUCCAUAGCUGGUUUGAGAGGAUGAUCAGCCACACUGGGACUGAGACACGGCCCAGACUCCUACGGGAGGCAGCAGUGGGGAAUCUUAGAAAAUGGGGGCAACCCUGAUCUAGCCAUGCCGCGUGAGUGAUGAAGGCCUUAGGGUUGUAAAGCUCUUUCAGCUGGGAAGAUAAUGACGGUACCAGCAGAAGAAGCCCCGGCUAACUCCGUG